rnacentral:lncRNA from 1 species
UCUUAUUCCAUAUAACACUUGUGAAUAGGUACACUAAGAAGAGGCAACGGGCUCACAGGACUGAAGAAAGUCAGAAGAACGUGAAGAUGGGAAAAGAAAGAUGUUCUUAUGGAUAUUGGAAGAUUAGAAUGAGAAAAAAAUAGAUAAAAGACUGUUGAAAAAAAUACGUAGUCUACGUAUAGUUAAGAAAGAAGAGAUCAAAACAAAAGAGCAUGUCUCAACAGAUGCUGGAAGAAAGUGCUAAACAGGAAAGAGCUGUGGCCCAUAUGGUUCCAGGCUGGUCUACAAGGCCAACUAUAAGGAAGGUGUGUGAUUUCAUCUGAAUACAAAAAUUAAAGUAAUAACAUGAGGAAAAUCUCUCUUGGCUAUCCGUGAUUACAUUUUCUCUUCUAAAAAUAAAGCCGAUGUUAACUGACUUGUCAAUUAUCCUGAACAUUUCUGAGUAAAAUUUCAAGCAAAUUAAAAUGUUUCUCAAAGUUUAUUCUACAUUCAGUAAAGCAGAUACCACAAGUUACUAAAGUAAUUAAGAAAAUUGUAAUUUAUUUGUGUGGCAAGACCUUACACAUACAACCAUCUGAUCAAAAUCAUCUAAGAUAUAUGAUAAAAAA